GACAAGCCUUAGCCAGGAGGUGUUCCAGAGGCCUGUGCCACAGAAAACCAAGAGAAGAUGGUCCAGGACCUAGCAGUCAGCAGAUGCUUGGCAGUAGGAUGGGGCAGCCGAGCUGAAGACAAAGGAUUCCUUCUGCCUUCACCCAUGGGCUGUGCGAAGAAUGGCUAUUGUCAUUUCCCAUGAUGCCAAAGGACCUGACAUCCAGCACUUGAGAGCUGAGGAAGAAGAAUCUUGGGUUCAAGGACAACCUGAGAAAUGAAAUAA
rnacentral:sRNA from 1 species